rnacentral:rRNA from 1 species
CCUACGGGUGGCAGCAGUGAGGAAUAUUGGUCAAUGGGCGGAAGCCUGAACCAGCCAAGUAGCGUGCAGGAUGACGGCCCUACGGGUUGUAAACUGCUUUUAUACGGGAAUAACGCGCCUUACGUGUAGGUCUUUGCAUGUACCGUAUGAAUAAGGACCGGCAAAUUCUGUGCCAGCAGCCGCGGUAAUACGGAAGGUCCGGGCGUUAUCCGGAUUUAUUGGGUUUAAAGGGAGCGUAGGCCGCAUGGAAAGCGUGCUGUGAAAUGUCCGGGCUCAAGCCGGGCCUUGCAGCGCGAACUGGCGUGCUUGAGUCCGCGGAAAGCAGGCGGAAUUCGUCGUGUAGCGGUGAAAUGCUUAGAUAUGACGAAGAACCCCGAUUGCGAAGGCAGCUUGCUGCAGCGGAACUGACGCUGAUGCUCGAAAGCGCGGGUAUCGAACAGGAUUAGAUACCCUUGUAGUC